rnacentral:piRNA from 1 species
UUGUCCGUUAGUUUUAAUUUU